rnacentral:rRNA from 1 species
GAUGAACGCUGGCGGCGUGCCUAAUACAUGCAAGUCGAGCGAACGGACGAGAAGCUUGCUUCUCUGAUGUUAGCGGCGGACGGGUGAGUAACACGUGGAUAACCUACCUAUAAGACUGGGAUAACUUCGGGAAACCGGAGCUAAUACCGGAUAAUAUUUUGAACCGCAUGGUUCAAAAGUGAAAGACGGUCUUGCUGUCACUUAUAGAUGGAUCCGCGCUGCAUUAGCUAGUUGGUAAGGUAACGGCUUACCAAGGCAACGAUGCAUAGCCGACCUGAGAGGGUGAUCGGCCACACUGGAACUGAGACACGGUCCAGACUCCUACGGGAGGCAGCAGUAGGGAAUCUUCCGCAAUGGGCGAAAGCCUGACGGAGCAACGCCGCGUGAGUGAUGAAGGUCUUCGGAUCGUAAAACUCUGUUAUUAGGGAAGAACAUAUGUGUAAGUAACUGUGCACAUCUUGACGGUACCUAAUCAGAAAGCCACGGCUAACUACGUGCCAGCAGCCGCGGUAAUACGUAGGUGGCAAGCGUUAUCCGGAAUUAUUGGGCGUAAAGCGCGCGUAGGCGGUUUUUUAAGUCUGAUGUGAAAGCCCACGGCUCAACCGUGGAGGGUCAUUGGAAACUGGAAAACUUGAGUGCAGAAGAGGAAAGUGGAAUUCCAUGUGUAGCGGUGAAAUGCGCAGAGAUAUGGAGGAACACCAGUGGCGAAGGCGACUUUCUGGUCUGUAACUGACGCUGAUGUGCGAAAGCGUGGGGAUCAAACAGGAUUAGAUACCCUGGUAGUCCACGCCGUAAACGAUGAGUGCUAAGUGUUAGGGGGUUUCCGCCCCUUAGUGCUGCAGCUAACGCAUUAAGCACUCCGCCUGGGGAGUACGACCGCAAGGUUGAAACUCAAAGGAAUUGACGGGGACCCGCACAAGCGGUGGAGCAUGUGGUUUAAUUCGAAGCAACGCGAAGAACCUUACCAAAUCUUGACAUCCUUUGACAACUCUAGAGAUAGAGCUUUCCCCUUCGGGGGACAAAGUGACAGGUGGUGCAUGGUUGUCGUCAGCUCGUGUCGUGAGAUGUUGGGUUAAGUCCCGCAACGAGCGCAACCCUUAAGCUUAGUUGCCAUCAUUAAGUUGGGCACUCUAAGUUGACUGCCGGUGACAAACCGGAGGAAGGUGGGGAUGACGUCAAAUCAUCAUGCCCCUUAUGAUUUGGGCUACACACGUGCUACAAUGGACAAUACAAAGGGCAGCGAAACCGCGAGGUCAAGCAAAUCCCAUAAAGUUGUUCUCAGUUCGGAUUGUAGUCUGCAACUCGACUACAUGAAGCUGGAAUCGCUAGUAAUCGUAGAUCAGCAUGCUACAGUGAAUACGUUCCCGGGUCU